rnacentral:rRNA from 1 species
UACGUAGGGGGCAAGCGUUGUCCGGAUUCACUGGGCGUAAAGGGUGCGUAGGCGGCCGGGUAAGUCUGAUGUGAAAUCCCGCAGCUUAACUGCGGAACUGCAUCGGAUACUCUCCGGCUAGAGGAAUGGAGGGGAGACUGGAAUUCUCGGUGUAGCAGUGAAAUGCGUAGAUAUCGAGAGGAACACCAGUGGCGAAGGCGAGUCUCUGGACAUUUCCUAACGCUGAGGCACGAAAGCCAGGGGAGCAAACGGG